GACGAACGCUGGCGGCGUGCCUAAUACAUGCAAGUCGAGCGGACUUUCAAGAAGCUUGCUUUUUGAAAGUUAGCGGCGGACGGGUGAGUAACACGUGGGCAACCUGCCUGUAAGACGGGGAUAACUCCGGGAAACCGGGGCUAAUACCGGAUAAUAUCUUUCUUCGCAUGAAGGAAGGUUGAAAGGCGGCGCAAGCUGCCGCUUGCAGAUGGGCCCGCGGAGCAUUAGCUAGUUGGUGGGGUAACGGCUCACCAAGGCGACGAUGCGUAGCCGACCUGGGAGGGUGAUCGGCCACACUGGGACUGAGACACGGCCCAGACUCCUACGGGAGGCAGCAGUAGGGAAUCUUCCGCAAUGGACGAAAGUCUGACGGAGCAACGCCGCGUGAGCGAAGAAGGUCUUCGGAUCGUAAAGCUCUGUUGUCAGGGAAGAACAAGUACCGUUCGAAUAGGGCGGUACCUUGACGGUACCUGACCAGAAAGCCACGGCUAACUACGUGCCAGCAGCCGCGGUAA
rnacentral:rRNA from 1 species